CACGUAGGGCGCAAGCGUUGUCCGGAAUUAUUGGGCGUAAAGAGCUCGUAGGCGGCCUGUUGCGUCUGCUGUGAAAACCCGGGGCUUAACCCCGGGCCUGCAGUGGAUACGGGCGGGCUAGAGGCAGGUAGGGGAGAAUGGAAUUCCCGGUGUAGCGGUGAAAUGCGCAGAUAUCGGGAGGAACACCGGUGGCGAAGGCGGUUCUCUGGGCCUGACCUGACGCUGAGGAGCGAAAGCGUGGGUAGCGAACGGG
rnacentral:rRNA from 1 species